rnacentral:rRNA from 1 species
UACGUAGGUGGCGAGCGUUGUCCGGAAUUACUGGGUGUAAAGGGAGCGUAGGCGGGAAUGCAAGUUGAAUGUCAAAUCCAUCGGCUCAACCGAUGUUCGCGUUCAAAACUGCAUUUCUUGAGUGAAGUAGAGGCAGGCGGAAUUCCUAGUGUAGCGGUGAAAUGCGUAGAUAUUAGGAGGAACACCAGUGGCGAAGGCGGCCUGCUGGGCUUUUACUGACGCUGAGGCUCGAAAGUGUGGGGAGCAAACAGGAUUAGAUACCCUGGUAGUCCACACUGUAAACGAUGAUUACUAGGUGUGGGGGGACUGACCCCUUCCGUGCCGGAGUUAACACAAUAAGUAAUCCACCUGGGGAGUACGACCGCAAGGUUGAA